AUCGCAUAUUUUAUCUGUUACGUAUUUGAUUGUCACCCAUCAUGGUGUUUGAUCUUCCUCGAAACACACGUGUCCUCCAACGAUCAGGAUUGACAAUUUGACAGCAUUGAUUGCGGUUGCACGCAAAGCUCGCAGAUGACGAGCUCGCCCAAUUCAAAUGUGAAACUGUAAAAAGCCCUCCUCGGCUAGUUGUAGAAGGCCCCCGACACACCCAGAAUAAACGAAACCCGGUCAAAGUAAUGGCGCCAAAGGCAACCAGAAAUCAAAGUCCACCGUCCGAUCCUCAGGGAAUGUUCGCUGGAUUGGUCGUCUUCUUAGUCGAAAAACGAGUUCAGAGCCGUCGUUUACAGAUUUGGAAGCAAAAAUUGGUCCAAAUGGGGGCUAGAAUCGAAGACAGCCUAACCAAAAGGGUCACUCAUAUACUUGCUAUGGACCCAGAAGCCCUCUUACAACAACUGGGUAGUGAGCGCUUGGCUCACUUUAAAGGAACAGUUGUAGUUUAUCAGUGGCUGGAGGAUAGUUUGAGCUCAGGAGAGAAGGUAUCUGAGGAUAUGUACCAUCUAAAAUUGGAAGCAGACAAGUCCUCCAAUGAUUACAUUUCUAGCGAUGAUGAACUACCAAAACCCAAAAAGACAAGAUCAUCUUCUCCAGAUGACUUGGCUCACACUUCAAUACCCAAAACCCCUGAAUCUCCAAAUAAGGAUCAGGUCACUGCAUUGCAAUCGGCUGUGCCCUACAGCCCACCUGACUUGAAUAAGAACAUAACCCAGAUAUUCGGCAAACUUAUCAAUAUUUAUAGAGCAUUGGGUGAUGACCGAAGAUCAUUUAGCUAUUACAAGGCUAUACCAGUUAUAGAGAAGUUGCCUUUCAAGAUUCAAAGUGUGGACCAAGUUAAAAACCUACCCAACAUUGGAAAGUCUAUGCAAGAUCAUAUUCAUGAGAUCGUGACUACUGGGAAGUUAUCCAAGUUGGAGCACUUUGAAACAGAUGAAAAGGUACGAACAAUCGCCUUAUUUGAGGAAAUUUGGGGUGUUGGUCCAGCUACUGCACUGAAAUUAUAUGAGAAAGGACACCGCACAUUAGAUGAUUUGAAGAAUGAAGAUUCAUUAACAAAUUCGCAAAAGUUGGGGUUAAGAUAUUAUGAUGAUAUCAAACAGAGGAUCCCACGCCAUGAGGCUGAAGAGAUGGAACAUCUUCUACAGAAAGUCGGAGAGAAUGUUUUGCCUGGGGUGGUCAUUGUAUGUGGUGGAUCAUAUAGACGCGGGAAAGCUUCUUGUGGGGAUCUAGACAUUGUAAUUACACAUCCUGAUGGAACGAGUCAUAAAGGUUUUCUACCAAAAUAUGUAAAGCAGUUAAAGGAUAUGAAGUUCCUACGAGAGGAUUUGAUUUUCAGUACGCAUAGUGAGGAGGGUACUGAUUCUGGCGUUGACACAUAUUUCGGACUUUGCACAUAUCCAGGAAGAGAGUUGCGACAUCGCAUAGAUCUUAAGGUUUUUGGUUUACCCAUUGGAGAUAUAUGCAUUUGGACUAAUAGCUUGGACAGGGAAUGAUGUAUUGAAUAGGAGGUUGAGAUUACUAGCUGAAUCUAAAGGAUUCCGGCUUGAUGAUACGGGGCUGUUUCCAGCUACUCAUGGCUCUUCCGGCAGUAAACGGGGGGUGAGAGCUAGCGCAAGCUUGAAAUUUGACACAGAAAAGGAGGUGUUUGAUUUCCUUGGGUUUCCUUGGCUUGAACCACAUGAGAGAAAUCUGUGACGUGUGAAUGUUUUGUAUGAGUAAUGUGUACAUGUGAACUAACAAACUCGGCCUUGUAAGGGAAACACACUUCAGUUCCAAUUUUGCAGACAAGGAGAGGGAGGGAAAGUCUUGUUCACAUACAAACCCUUGCAAUUUUUUUACGAAUUCAAAUGUAUAUUACUUUAGUACACUCUGUCACAAUUCUUCUCAA